GAUGAACGCUGGCGGCGUGCCUAAUACAUGCAAGUCGAGCGAAUGGAUUAAGAGCUUGCUCUUAUGAAGUUAGCGGCGGACGGGUGAGUAACACGUGGGUAACCUGCCCAUAAGACUGGGAUAACUCCGGGAAACCGGGGCUAAUACCGGAUAAUAUUUUGAACUGCAUGGUUCAAAAUUGAAAGGCGGCUUCGGCUGUCACUUAUGGAUGGACCCGCGUCGCAUUAGCUAGUUGGUGAGGUAACGGCUCACCAAGGCAACGAUGCGUAGCCGGCCUGAGAGGGUGAUCGGCCACACUGGGACUGAGACACGGCCCAGACUCCUACGGGAGGCAGCAGUAGUGAAUCUUCCGCAAUGGACGAAAGUCUGACGGAGCAACGCCGCGUGAGUGAUGAAGGCUUUCGGGUCGUAAAACUCUGUUGUUAGGGAAGAACAAGUGCUAGUUGAAUAAGCUGGCACCUUGACGGUACCUAACCAGAAAGCCACGGCUAACUACGUGCCAGCCGCCGCGGUAA
rnacentral:rRNA from 1 species